rnacentral:tRNA from 1 species
GGGGAUUUAGCUCAGCGGCAUAAGUACCUGCCUUGCAAGCAGGCAGUCAAGCAGGCAGUCGUGAGUUCAAUCCCUG